rnacentral:rRNA from 1 species
UACGUAGGGGGGCUAGCGUUGUCCGGAUUUAUUGGCGUAAAGAGCGUGUAGGCGGCCAGAUAGGUCUGCUGUGAAAACUCGAGGCUCAACCUCGAGAUGUCGGCGGAAACCAUUUGGCUAGAGUCCGGAAGAGGAAAGUGGAAUUCCUGGUGUAGCGGUGAAAUGCGCAGAUAUCAGGAAGAACACCCGUGGCGAAGGCGGCUUUCUGGGACGGUACUGACGCUGAGACGCGAAAGCGUGGGGAGCGAACAGG